AAUUCGUAAUGUGGACACUUCCUUAUAAUUAUCUUGAAAUGUUCUAUGCCUCGUACAUGGAUUCACCUUCAUAUUGUUUAAAAUUGGUGAUUUCUCACCUAAGCU
rfam:Gossypium hirsutum cultivar TM-1 chromosome 12, whole genome shotgun sequence